rnacentral:misc_RNA from 1 species
UCCGGUUUGUCACCGGCAGUCAUCUUAGAGUGCCCACCAUCAUGUGCUGGCAACUAAGAUCAAGGGUUGCGCUCGUUGCGGGACUUAACCCAACAUCUCACGACACGAGCUGACGACAACCAUGCACCACCUGUCUCCUCUGUCCCGAAGGCCGGCUCUAUCUCUAGAGCUUUCAGAGGGAUGUCAAGACCUGGUAAGGUUCUUCGCGUUGCUUCGAAUUAAACCACAUACUCCACUGCUUGUGCGGGUCCCCGUCAAUUCCUUUGAGUUUUAGCCUUGCGGCCGUACUCCCCAGGCGGGGUGCUUAAUGCGUUAGCUGCGGCACCGCAGGGGUCAAAGCCCGCGACACCUAGCACCCAUCGUUUACGGCGUGGACUAC